rnacentral:rRNA from 1 species
AGUGAACGCUGGCGGUAGGCCUAACACAUGCAAGUCGAACGGCAGCACAGUAAGAGCUUGCUCUUACGGGUGGCGAGUGGCGGACGAGUGAGGAAUACAUCGGAAUCUACUUUUUCGUGGGGGAUAACGUAGGGAAACUUACGCUAAUACCGCAUACGACCUACGGGUGAAAGCAGGGGAUCUUCGGACCUUGCGCGAUUGAAUGAGCCGAUGUCGGAUUAGCUAGUUGGCGGGGUAAAGGCCCACCAAGGCGACGAUCCGUAGCUGGUCUGAGAGGAUGAUCAGCCACACUGGAACUGAGACACGGUCCAGACUCCUACGGGAGGCAGCAGUGGGGAAUAUUGGACAAUGGGCGCAAGCCUGAUCCAGCCAUACCGCGUGGGUGAAGAAGGCCUUCGGGUUGUAAAGCCCUUUUGUUGGGAAAGAAAAGCAGCAGGUGAAUACCCCGCUGUUCUGACGGUACCCAAAGAAUAAGCACCGGCUAACUUCGUG